ACCUGGCUGACUCAGUCGGUAGAGCACGUGACUCUUGAUCUCAUGGUCAUGAGUUCAAGUCCCAUGUUGGGUG
rfam:Mustela putorius furo unplaced genomic scaffold scaffold00096, whole genome shotgun sequence.